rnacentral:lncRNA from 1 species
CCCCGAGACUGAGGACUGGGGGCGCUGCUCUGGGCGCGUCCAUCCCCGUAGUAGCGCAGGGAGAGAGAGAACCGAGAGACCCCCGUGAACUCCCAAGGCGACCCGGCGAGUGGGGAAGCCAGAGCCCAGCAGGCAUUUGUUGA